AGUGGUCGAGUGGCAGCUCGAG
rnacentral:siRNA from 1 species